GAAAGCAGGGGAUCGUAAGACCUUGCGCUUUUGGAGCGGCCGAUGUCUGAUUAGCUAGUUGGUGGGGUAAUGGCCUACCAAAGCUUCGAUCAGUAGCUGGUCUGAGAGGACGGCCAGCCACACUGGGACUGAGACACGGCCCAGACUCCUACGGGAGGCAGCAGUGGGGAAUUUUGGACAAUGGGCGCAAACCUGAUCCAGCCAUGCCGCGUGAGUGAAGAAGGCCUUCGGGUUGUAAAGCUCUUUCAGCCGGGAAGAAAAGGCUGCGACUAAUAAUCGCAGUUCAUGACGGUACCGGAAGAAGAAGCACCGGCUAACUACGUGCCAGCAGCCGCGGUAAUACGUAGGGUGCGAGCGUUAAUCGGAAUUACCGGGCGUAAAGGGUGCGCAGGCGGUUUUGUAAGUCAGAUGUGAAAUCCCCGGGCUUAACCUGGGAACUGCGUUUGAAACUACAAAGCUAGC
rnacentral:rRNA from 1 species